rnacentral:rRNA from 1 species
GGUUAAGUGACUAAGCGUACACGGUGGAUGCCUUGGCAGUCAGAGGCGAUGAAAGACGUAGUAACUUGCGAUAAGCCCAGAUUAGGUAGUAACAACCAUUUGAGUCUGGGAUUUCUGAAUGGGGAAACCCACGUGCAUAAGUACGUAUCCUUACCUGAAUACAUAGGGUAAGGAGGCGAACCGGGGGAACUGAAACAUCUAAGUACCCCGAGGAAAAGAAAUCAACCGAGAUUCCGAAAGUAGCGGCGAGCGAAAUUGGACUAGCCCUUAAGCUUUACACGCGUUAGACGAACGGUCUGGAAAGUCCGACGAUACAGGGUGAUAGUCCCGUAGUUGACGACGUGUGUUCAGUGAAAUCGAGUAGGGCGGGACACGUGAUAUCCUGUCUGAAUAUGGGGGGACCAUCCUCCAAGGCUAAAUACUACUGACUGACCGAUAGUGAACCAGUACCGUGAGGGAAAGGCGAAAAGAACCCCUGUGAGGGGAGUGAAAUAGAACCUGAAACCGUGUACGUACAAGCAGUAGGAGCAGGCUUUGUCCUGUGACUGCGUACCUUUUGUAUAAUGGGUCAGCGACUUAUAUUCAGUGGCAAGGUUAACCAUCUAGGGGAGCCGUAGGGAAACCGAGUCUUAACUGGGCGUUCAGUCUCUGGAUAUAGACCCGAAACCAGGUGAUCUAGCCAUGGGCAGGUUGAAGGUUGAGUAACAUCAACUGGAGGACCGAACCGACUAAUGUUGAAAAAUUAGCGGAUGACUUGUGGCUAGGGGUGAAAGGCCAAUCAAACCUGGAGAUAGCUGGUUCUCCCCGAAAGCUAUUUAGGUAGCGCCUCGGACGAAUACUACUGGGGGUAGAGCACUGUUAAGGCUAGGGGGUCAUCCCGACUUACCAACCCUUUGCAAACUCCGAAUACCAGUAAGUACUAUCCGGGAGACACACGGCGGGUGCUAACGUCCGUCGUGGAGAGGGAAACAACCCAGACCGCCAGCUAAGGUCCCAAAUUACUACUAAGUGGGAAACGAUGUGGGAAGGCUCAGACAGCCAGGAUGUUGGCUUAGAAGCAGCCAUCAUUUAAAGAAAGCGUAAUAGCUCACUGGUCGAGUCGGCCUGCGCGGAAGAUGUAACGGGGCUAAGUAGUAAACCGAAGCUGCGGCAAUAUACUUUUGUAUAUUGGGUAGGGGAGCGUUCUGUAAGCGGUUGAAGGUGUGUGGUAACGCAUGCUGGACGUAUCAGAAGUGCGAAUGCUGACAUGAGUAACGAUAAAGGGGGUGAAAAACCUCCUCGCCGGAAGACCAAGGGUUCCUGUCCAACGUUAAUCGGGGCAGGGUAAGUCGACCCCUAAGGCGAGGCCGAAAGGCGUAGUCGAUGGGAAACGGGUUAAUAUUCCCGUACUUCUUACAAUUGCGAUGGGGGGACGGAGAAGGCUAGGUGGGCCUGGCGACGGUUGUCCAGGUUCAAGUGCGUAGGCUUAAGAGUUAGGUAAAUCCGGCUCUUUUUAAGGCUGAGACACGACGUCGAGCACCUACGGGUGUGAAGUCAUUGAUGCCAUGCUUCCAGGAAAAGCCUCUAAGCUUCAGAUUGUAAGGAAUCGUACCCCAAACCGACACAGGUGGUCGGGUAGAGAAUACCAAGGCGCUUGAGAGAACUCGGGUGAAGGAACUAGGCAAAAUGGUACCGUAACUUCGGGAGAAGGUACGCUCUUGAUGGUGAAGUCCCUUGCGGAUGGAGCUGACGAGAGUCGCAGAUACCAGGUGGCUGCAACUGUUUAUUAAAAACACAGCACUGUGCAAAAUCGUAAGAUGACGUAUACGGUGUGACGCCUGCCCGGUGCCGGAAGGUUAAUUGAUGGGGUUAGACUUCGGUCGAAGCUCUUGAUCGAAGCCCCGGUAAACGGCGGCCGUAACUAUAACGGUCCUAAGGUAGCGAAAUUCCUUGUCGGGUAAGUUCCGACCUGCACGAAUGGCGUAAUGAUGGCCACGCUGUCUCCACCCGAGACUCAGUGAAAUUGAAAUCGCUGUGAAGAUGCAGUGUACCCGCGGCUAGACGGAAAGACCCCGUGAACCUUUACUACAGCUUGGCACUGAACAUUGACCCUACAUGUGUAGGAUAGGUGGGAGGCUUUGAAGCACGUACGCCAGUAUGUGUGGAGCCGUCCUUGAAAUACCACCCUUGUAGUGUUGAUGUUCUAACGUCGACCCCUAAUCGGGGUUGCGGACAGUGCCUGGUGGGUAGUUUGACUGGGGCGGUCUCCUCCCAAAGAGUAACGGAGGAGCACGAAGGUGGGCUAAUCACGGUUGGACAUCGUGAGGUUAGUGCAAUGGCAUAAGCCCGCUUGACUGCGAGAAUGACAAUUCGAGCAGGUGCGAAAGCAGGUCAUAGUGAUCCGGUGGUUCUGAAUGGAAGGGCCAUCGCUCAACGGAUAAAAGGUACUCCGGGGAUAACAGGCUGAUACCGCCCAAGAGUUCAUAUCGACGGCGGUGUUUGGCACCUCGAUGUCGGCUCAUCACAUCCUGGGGCUGAAGUCGGUCCCAAGGGUAUGGCUGUUCGCCAUUUAAAGUGGUACGCGAGCUGGGUUUAGAACGUCGUGAGACAGUUCGGUCCCUAUCUGCCGUGGGCGUUGGAAGAUUGAAGGGGGCUGCUCCUAGUACGAGAGGACCGGAGUGGACGAACCUCUGGUGUUCGGGUUGUGUCGCCAGACGCAUUGCCCGGUAGCUAAGUUCGGAAUCGAUAACCGCUGAAAGCAUCUAAGCGGGAAGCGAGCCCUGAGAUGAGUCUUCCCUGAUACUUUAAGUAUCCUAAAGGGUUGUCGGAGACUACGACGUUGAUAGGUCAGGUGUGUAAGUGCUGUGAGGCAUUGAGCUAACUGAUACUAAUUGCCCGUGAGGCUUAACCAU